GACGAACGCUGGCGGCGUGCUUAACACAUGCAAGUCGAACGAUGAAGCUGGAGCUUGCUCCGGUGGAUUAGUGGCGAACGGGUGAGUAACACGUGAGCAAUCUGCCCUUGACUCUGGGAUAACUGCGGGAAACUGUAGCUAAUACCGGAUACGAGACCUGAAGGCAUCUUCGGGUCUGUAAAGAAUUUCGGUCAAGGAUGAGCUCGCGGCCUAUCAGCUUGCUGGGGAGGUAAUGGCUCACCCAGGCGACGACGGGUAGCCGGCCUGAGAGGGUGACCGGCCACACUGGGACUGAGACACGGCCCAGACUCCUACGGGAGGCAGCAGUGGGGAAUAUUGCACAAUGGGCGAAAGCCUGAUGCAGCAACGCCGCGUGAGGGAUGAAGGCCUUCGGGUUGUAAACCUCUUUUAGCAGGGAAGAAGCGAAAGUGACGGUACCUGCAGAAAAAGCACCGGCUAACUACGUGCCAGCAGCCGCCGCGG
rnacentral:rRNA from 1 species